GACGAACUUUGGCGGCGUGCUUAACACAUGCAAGUCGAACGGAAAGGCCCUGCUUUUGUGGGGUGCUCGAGUGGCGAACGGGUGAGUAACACGUGAGUAACCUGCCCUUGACUUUGGGAUAACUUCAGGAAACUGGGGCUAAUACCGGAUAGGAGCUCCUGCUGCAUGGUGGGGGUUGGAAAGUUUCGGCGGUUGGGGAUGGACUCGCGGCUUAUCAGCUUGUUGGUGGGGUAGUGGCUUACCAAGGCUUUGACGGGUAGCCGGCCUGAGAGGGUGACCGGCCACAUUGGGACUGAGAUACGGCCCAGACUCCUACGGGAGGCAGCAGUGGGGAAUAUUGCACAAUGGGCGGAAGCCUGAUGCAGCAACGCCGCGUGCGGGAUGACGGCCUUCGGGUUGUAAACCGCUUUCGCCUGUGACGAAGCGUGAGUGACGGUAAUGGGUAAAGAAGCACCGGCUAACUACGUGCCAGCAGCCGCGGUGAUACGUAGGGUGCGAGCGUUGUCCGGAUUUAUUGGGCGUAAAGGGCUCGUAGGUGGUUGAUCGCGUCGGAAGUGUAAUCUUGGGGCUUAACCCUGAGCGUGCUUUCGAUACGGGUUGACUUGAGGAAGGUAGGGGAGAAUGGAAUUCCUGGUGGAGCGGUGGAAUGCGCAGAUAUCAGGAGGAACACCAGUGGCGAAGGCGGUUCUCUGGGCCUUUCCUGACGCUGAGGAGCGAAAGCGUGGGGAGCGAACAGGCUUAGAUACCCUGGUAGUCCACGCUGUAAACGGUGGGUACUAGGUGUGGGGUCCAUUCCACGGGUUCCGUGCCGUAGCUAACGCUUUAAGUACCCCGCCUGGGGAGUACGGCCGCAAGGCUAAAACUCAAAGGAAUUGACGGGGCCCCGCACAAGCGGCGGAGCAUGCGGAUUAAUUCGAUGCAACGCGUAGAACCUUACCUGGGUUUGACAUGGAUCGGGAGUGCUCAGAGAUGGGUGUGCCUCUUUUGGGGUCGGUUCACAGGUGGUGCAUGCCUGUCGUCAGCUCGUGUCGUGAGAUGUUGGGUUAAGUCCCGCAACGAGCGCAACCCUUGUUCACUGUUGCCAGCACGUUAUGGUGGGGACUCAGUGGAGACCGCCGGGGUCAACUCGGAGGAAGGUGGGGAUGACGUCAAGUCAUCAUGCCCCUUAUGUCCAGGGCUUCACGCAUGCUACAAUGGCUGGUACAGAGAGUGGCGAGCCUGUGAGGGUGAGCGAAUCUCGGAAAGCCGGUCUCAGUUCGGAUUGGGGUCUGCAACUCGACCUCAUGAAGUCGGAGUCGCUAGUAAUCGCAGAACAGCAACGCUGCGGUGAAUACGUUCCCGGGGC
rnacentral:rRNA from 1 species